CUGGGCUCCCCUCCCUCCCGCCCCGCACCCCACGUGAAGCGGAAUAUAAAGGGGGGUGUGUGACUGGAGGGGAAAGUGAAUGGCGAAGGACUGAAGGGGUCCCCCUUCGGUUCCCCAGCCACCUGGUUCACCCGGUUCAUCCUCCCUUCCCGAAGCUAGCCCUCGAAGGCAGGAGCAGCCGGCGCCUUCGGCAGAGGAGGAGGAGGAAUCGCGUCGGGCGGAGCUUCAGGUCCUGUUCUCCUCUCCGGCUUCUCCAUACAAAGAUUACGGUGCAGAAGGAAAUUGCACUCGCCUCCUCCGCCCCCCCGGUACCCAGCACAAUGCACCAGCCGCCGGAGUCCACUGCCGCGGCGGCCGCCGCUGCAGACAUUAGUGCUAGGAAGAUGGCGCACCCGGCAAUGUUCCCUCGAAGGGGCAGCGGUGGUGGCAGCGCCUCUGCUCUCAAUGCAGCAGGUACCGGCGUCAGUGGUGCUGCUCCAUCUUCUGAGGAUUUUCCUCCUCCUUCGCUGCUCCAGCCGCCGCCUCCUGCUGCAUCUUCCACGCAGGGACCACAGCCUCCGCCUCCACAAAGCCUGAACCUCCUCUCGCAGGCUCAGCUGCAGGCACAGCCUCUCGCGCCGGGCGGAACUCAGAUGAAAAAGAAAAGUGGCUUCCAGAUAACUAGCGUUACUCCGGCUCAGAUCUCUGCCAGCAUCAGCUCUAACAACAGCAUAGCAGAGGACACGGAGAGCUACGACGAUCUGGAUGAGUCUCACACGGAAGACCUGUCUUCUUCCGAGAUCCUUGAUGUGUCACUUUCCAGGGCCACUGACUUAGGUGAGCCUGAACGCAGCUCCUCAGAAGAGACUCUGAAUAACUUCCAGGAAGCUGAGACACCUGGGGCAGUCUCUCCUAACCAGCCCCACCUUCCUCAGCCUCAUCUGCCUCACCUCCCACAACAGAACGUUGUGAUCAAUGGAAAUGCUCAUCCACACCACCUCCAUCACCACCAUCACAUUCAUCAUGGGCACCACCUCCACCAUGGACACCAUCACUCAUCCCAUGCUGCUGUGGCCAGUUCAUCCAUUCCUGGAGGGCCACCCUCGAGCCCAGUGUCCAGAAAACUCUCUACAACUGGAAGUUCUGAUGGUGGGGUGCCAGCCGCACCGACUUCUGCUGUCUCAUCGAGUGGCCUGCCUGCCUCUGUGAUGACUAACAUCCGUGCUCCAAGUACUACAGGCAGCAUAGGUAUAAGUUCUGUUACGGGCCCGAGUGCAACGAAUAAUGUGAACGUCGCUGCCGUGGGUGGUUUCGGUCCUACCGUGACAAGCAGUGUGCAUGGUAGUGCUAAGAUAAGUACAAGCAAUAUUCCUAAUGCUGCUAGUGUAAGUGUCGGGCCUGGAGUUACCAGUGGUGUUAAUGUGAAUGUCUUGAGUGGCAUGGGCAAUGGUACUGUUUCUUCCUCUCCUGUUGCUAACAGUGUCCUUAAUGCAGCUGCAGGUAUCCCUGUGGGAGUGGUUUCAAGUCAGCAGCAGCAGCAGCAGCAGCAGCAGCAGCCAACAGUUAACACGUCAAGGUUCAGAGUUGUGAAGUUAGACUCCACUUCCGAGCCCUUUAAAAAAGGUAGAUGGACUUGCACUGAGUUCUACGAAAAGGAAAAUGCCCCGCCUGCCGCAGAAGGCGUGGCGGUAAAUAAAGCGGUGGAGACCGUGAAGCAGACCCCCACGGAAGUGUCUUCGGAGAGGGAGAGCACGAGUGGGAGUUCAGUGAGCAGUAGCGUCAGCACACUGAGCCACUACACGGAGAGUGUGGGAAGUGGGGAGAUGGGAGCCCCUACCGUGGUGCAGCAGCAGCAGCAGCAGCAGCCGCCGCUGCCGCCGCCACCAGGUCUUCAAGGUGUGGCCCUCCAGCAGAUAGAUUUCGGUAGCCCUGGUCCACAGAGUAUUGCAGCAGUGAGUAUACCACAGAGUAUUUCUCAGUCGCAGAUGUCACAAGUCCAAUUACAGCCUCAAGAACUGAGCUUUCAGCAAAAGCAAGGUCUUCAACCUGUACCUCUGCAAGCCACAAUGAGUGCAGCCACGGUUCUCCAGCCUUCCUCUGUAAACGUGGUCGGUGUAACGUCAGCCGUGGGUCAGCAGCCUUCCAUUUCCAGUCUGGCUCAGCCCCAACUGCCGUAUUCUCAGACAGCUCCUGCCGUGCAAACUCCUCUUCCAGGGGCACCACCCCAGCAGUUACAAUAUGGGCAGCAGCAGCCAAUGGUUUCUACACAGAUAGCUCCAGGCCAUGGCCAGUCAAUGACUCAGAAUCCUGCUUCCGAGUAUGUACAGCAGCAGCCAAUUCUUCAAGCAUCCGUGUCCUCUGGACAGUCCAGUUCUGCAGGAACGGGAGCAGGACCCUCAGGGAUCCCUGUGCCUCAGCCACAGGGGAUCCAGCUGCCAGUGCAGCCCACAGCAGUCCAAGCACAACCUGCAGGGGCAUCAGGGCAGCCCAUUGGCCAGGCUCAAACAGCAGCGUCUGCUCUACCAGCUGGCAGUCAAAUGGCGAAUAUUGGUCCACAAGCAAACAUGCCCACUGCGGUACAGCAGCCAUCUACCCAAGUUACACCUUCAGUUAUCCCGCAAGGUGCUCCGCCAUCUUCACAAGGAGUUCUCCCCGCUCCAACUGGGAUUCUUCAUCAGGGAGUUCAAACUAGUGCUUCGAGCCUUCCUCAACAAUUGGUUAUCGCACCCCAGAGUACCUUGUUAACUGGGCCUCCCCAGCCGCAGGGAGUAGAAACGGUGGUUCAAGGAGUGGUUAGCCACCAGUUGCCCGCAGGUAGUCCUCUGCCCCCUGCUAGUAGUCUUUCUGUUACCAGUCAGGUUAGUUCCGCUGGCCCUUCUGGAAUGCCUUCUGCCCCAACAAACUUAGUUCCACCACAGAAUAUAGCACAACCCCCGGCUACCCAAAAUGGCAGUGUGGUUCAGAGCGCUAGUCAGUCUCCCUUGAUAGCCACUAACAUCAGUUUGCCUUUGGCACAACAGAUACCACUAAGUUCUGCUCAGUUCUCCACACAGUCCUUAGCCCAGGCCAUUGGAAGCCAGAUGGAAGAUGCCAGGCGCCCAGCGGAGCCCUCCGUAGUCGGCUUACCUCAGACGCUGAGUGGGGACAGUGGGGGAGUGUCAGCAGUUUCAGAUGGGAGUAGCAGCAGCCUCGCAGCCUCUGCUUCUCUCUUCCCGUUGAAGGUGCUACCGCUGACAACACCCCUGGUGGAUGGCGAGGACGAGAGCUUUGGUAUGUUUCCCAACUGGCUGCAGAGCCAGGAGAGAAAGCGAAGGCAGUAGACACUAACUGUUGGUUACCACCUCCUUAAUGCCGAGACCCUAACCCUUGUUGGUUUGCUAGAGAGCGGGAGAGCGCAGCCCUCGCUCCACUAACAGCUCUAUUUCAGUGCUUCUCUCCUACCAGAGGUGAAAGGAGUGAUCCUAGAGCCACAGAUACAGCCAAGACCACGGAGGCUUUUGACGUCAGGGGCCACUUUCUCCACUGAACCCUUGGAGACAGAAUAUCCAGCCUCUGGAGAGAGUGGGAAAGGAUAAGAAACAAGUGGGUGCUUUCCAUUGUUUACUUGGGUUUGCUUAGAGUGGAGUGUCCUGCCAUUGUCCAUUUAUUCUGUUGCUAAUCUCCUUGGCUUCUUACAAGAACCAGGCGGGACUGUGACCUCGGUGUUUCUCAGAGUACUAUCUAGUGCCCAUUCAGAAACAAACUAAAAGUUAUUUCAUUUCUCUCCAGAUAUUAAAGGUGUGGCUAGUCUGGGGCAUACACAUGGUUUGGUCCAUGUCUAUAGUUCACAGGAAUUUAAGAAAGGCAGUCAUUUCCCGCUUUGGCCUUUACUGUAACGGUGGACUGGAUAGAGUUCUUUUAGAGUCCAGAAAUUGAAAUUCCUGUGCUUCAUCUUUGGGUGAGCUGGACAUCUGAGAUCUCUUAAUUUAUACAGUUGAAUGUCCAGGUGCCACCCUGCCCUGUUAGUGAGGACUUCUGGGUCUUUUCCUCCCGUAAAUGUUAGGCCUUCACACUCAGUCUCUUAGGAGAUGGAAUGACGAUAGUACUGUUGCGCUUUACUGUUAAACGUAGGCUUCAUUCUUAAAUAGAAUGAGUAUAAGUUUCAGGAUUUAGUGCCCCUGAAAGUUACAUUUAAUACACUCAAAAGUAGUUUUCUGAAAGUUACAUUUAAUACACUCAAAAGUAGUUUUCUAGUCCCUAGGAAUGACUAGAUUUCUCCUAGGGCAUUAAGAUGGUUCUUUCUUAGUUUCUUUGAUGCCAAGGGUAGGGUGUGAGUCCAGGCAGUUCUUACCAUCUACAGUGGGUAGAAUGUGAAGUUGGUGCGUUGGCAAGUUUUCAUUGUUUCCUUGGUGGCUUCCUUCUGUGACUCCAGGUAUCUUGAUAAUGGGAGACCGGUUUAUUUGUUCUCUAAUUGCCCAGAUUUCUUUCAACUGGUAAAACAUCAUACCUCUUCAGCAAAAGGAACUCUUCUAGCAGAGCCCUCAUGGAUGAUAUCUGUCACACAUGCCAGCACCUGCAGUUUGGAAGGCAGUGGUGAAUGGAUCCAUGCAGUAUGUCUAGAAGACACAAGGAUGAGCCAGCACCUGAUCUUGUUAUUUACAAACUUUUAAAGAUUUACUCUGGUUUAUUUUUGGUCUGAAAAUGGAAAGGCUCAAAUAAUGAAAUAAUCUUUUCAUAUUGGAGUUUUAUAUGGCCUGAAAAUAUUUAUUAUUCUGAAGACUGAAAUAGAGAAAGCUUGAGAGUCUUGUCUUUCAAAGCAGCUCUCUGUAUCUGUUUCACUUAAAAGAUUUGUGGGACUGAAAACCAUUUUAAUCAAGUAGACAACUGUCACUUUAAAAAUAGAAAAAGCUUGAUGAACCCCCUCUACCUCUUCUUUUGUUACCCAGUGCUAAAGGGCACUAGCAAAUAAAGGGUGAACCCGACUCUUCAAGAGUCUGUUCAUGUUAGGAUGUACUCUUAGCUCAUCUCAUGCUGGUCCUGAGCCUUAUUCUUCCGUGUAGUUUAUCAUAUCAACAAAGUCGUAGAACUGUCUCAGAGACCCGUGGAGUCAGGUCUGUUUUUCUAAGUAGUAAAUGCCUCCUAGGGUUUCCUCUGCACUGAAGGCAUCUCCAUUUGAGUGAUGCAGAGCAGUUGGUAUGGAACUGAGGUAAUGCAAAGAGUCAGUGAACUUGCAGGUGUGAAGGAAAUGUAGUUAUCCAAAUCAGCUAUCAAAAUGUUUGUUUCUUUGGUUAUCUAGUAACUCUCUAGAAACCAGUCAAAACUACUAAGGAAACUGUAACAGUCACCUGAUGCUGCCAGUUCCUUUUAAUUUGGAAUAAGUUUUAAGAAGAGAAAUUGUAGAAUUAAUAAUAUAAGAGCCAACUGAAAUGUUAGGCUCUCAAAGUUUAAAAGCUACAUCUGCUAAAAUAUCUGCUUUUUGUCUAUUUUGGCUAUAAAAACUAUUUUUUUCUUAUAAAUUAUAAAUCAUUUUUCAAAAGUAUAAUGCUUAAAAGUAAAUUUGUUAAAGAUAAUUUUGAAUGGAAAAUUUCCUCACAGAACUCUGAAUUCCCAUAGAAUUACAGUUUUGUAUUCCUGACUUAAUAAGAUAUUUCAUAAAUACAUAUAAACAAAAACCAAAUUACGUAACAUUUUAGUAAGAACUCAGGGAGCUGACAGUGAGGUUUGCCUAGAAAUGUAGUUGCAUUCUUUAAACCACUGUAGAAACCAUUUUAUGGCCUGAGGUCACUAGCCUUUUGUCUCAGCACUGAAGACAGAAAGUGAUUUAACCUCAGAAUCUCAAGCUUUAAUUAAUCUCAGCUAUGUUCUUAAAGUAUGCAAAAGAAAUGUCAGUGCGUUUGCAUUACCUCCUGCACUGCGAGCUCUUUCAAAGUGAAACUGUGUAUAUUACUGUGUACUGAUUUGUUUCCACUUUUAAUUUUGAUGCAUUUCCUUUCAGAGUUUUACCGAACAAUUUCGUGUCACAAUAUGCAAUUCUAUAUCAUUUCCGUGUUUAUUUUAUAAAUAUUAAUAUAAGUUAUUCCUUUUCUAGAAUGAUUAAUUGUGUAAUAUUUGUAUUAUGUGAUCAUUUGAAAACUAAUAAAUAUUUUCUCCAUGGAAAAAUGCA